CUGGUCGGUAUUCAGGGCCUUUGUUCUCUCUGGUAUCAGCCAUUCCUCCAGCCUGCAGACAAAAGAUCUCAAAUGUCAUCAUGUGCCCCUGUCAAUCAACUGACCUCAUGCUUUAAUCACCAUGGCUGAACACAAGAACCAUGCUUCAUGCUUUUCCAAAAACCUGCAUCUAUCAGACAUUUAUCUCCUGUGGAUCCACCAGAAAUCUCUAUGUUUGGGCCCCUGGAAUCCAUGUGGUGGGGGCUCUGAGAAGCGGGGCCCCUCCAGGCUCAGGAAGUGCGGUUCUGGAGGUGACAUCUGGUCUUGUCCCCUGGAUGAUUU